GAUGAACGCUGGCGGCGUGCUUAACACAUGCAAGUCGAACGGAAAGGCCCAAGCUUGCUUGGGUACUCGAGUGGCGAACGGGUGAGUAACACGUGGGUGAUCUGCCCUGCACUUCGGGAUAAGCCUGGGAAACUGGGUCUAAUACCGGAUAGGACCACUUCUUGGAUGUUGUGGUGGAAAGUUUUUUCGGUGUGGGAUGAGCUCGCGGCCUAUCAGCUUGUUGGUGGGGUAAUGGCCUACCAAGGCGUCGACGGGUAGCCGGCCUGAGAGGGUGUACGGCCACAUUGGGACUGAGAUACGGCCCAGACUCCUACGGGAGGCAGCAGUGGGGAAUAUUGCACAAUGGGCGCAAGCCUGAUGCAGCGACGCCGCGUGGGGGAUGACGGCCUUCGGGUUGUAAACUCCUUUCGCUAGGGACGAAGCGUUUUGUGACGGUACCUGGAGAAGAAGCACCGGCUAGCUACGUG
rnacentral:rRNA from 1 species